GGAGAGGAGGGGAGGGGAGAGAAGGGGAGGGGAGAGAAGAGGGGAGAGAGGAGGGGAGGGGAGAGAAGAGGGGAAGAGGAGAGGGGGGAGAGAAAUGGCAUCUAUCAAAAUAUGAGAUGUCAACAUAAUAAGUUAUUAGGUGCUAUUCCUUGGUACAGCUGCUGUGAAAUGUAUAUCCUCACAGCAAAACAAUGGUGCUUUUUAUUUGAAAAUGGAUGUAAAGAGGAUUUUAGAGCAAAAAUGUCUACUUGGUUUUGUUCUAUCAGAUUAUUGGAUGAUUAGAAACUAAAUGUGCUGAGGCAGAGUAGAGCUGAGGUGAAGUGGCUUUGUGAUGAUGUCCUCAUCAGAGAGGACUGUGUCUGUGAUGAAGGACUGGAUAUUAUAAUGUCCUCAUCAGAGAGGACUGUGUCUGUGUUGAAGGACUGGAUAUUAUAAUGUCCUCAUCAGAGAGGACUGUGUCUGUGUUGAAGGACUGGAUAUUAUAAUGUCCUCAUCAGAGAGGACUGUGUCUGUGUUGAAGGACUGGAUAUUAUAAUGUCCUCAUCAGAGAGGACUGUGUCUGUGUUGAAGGACUGUGGAUAUUAUAAUGUCCUCAUCAGAGAGGACUAUGUCUGUGUUGAAGGACUGGAUAUUAUAAUGUCCUCAUCAGAGAGGACUGUGUCUGUGUUGAAGGACUGUGGAUAUUAUAAUGUCCUCAUCAGAGAGGACUAUGUCUGUGACGAAGGACUGUGGAUAUUAUAAUGUCCUCAUCAGAGAGGACUGUGUCUGUGAUGAAGGACUGUGGAUAUUAUAAUGUCCUCAUCAGAGAGGACUGUGUCUGUGAUGAAGGACUGUGGAUAUUAUAAUGUCCUCAUCAGAGAGGACUGUGUCUGUGAUGAAGGACUGGAUAUUAUAAUGUCCUCAUCAGAGAGGACUGUGUCUGUGAUGAAGGACUGUGGAUAUUAUAAUGUCCUCAUCAGAGAGGACUGUGUCUGUGAUGGACUGGAUAUUAUAAUGUCCUCAUCAGAGAGGACUGUGUCUGUGUUGAAGGACUGUGGAUAUUAUAAUGUCCUCAUCAGAGAGGACUAUGUCUGUGUUGAAGGACUGGAUAUUAUAAUGUCCUCAUCAGAGAGGACUGUGUCUGUGUUGAAGGACUGUGGAUAUUAUAAUGUCCUCAUCAGAGAGGACUAUGUCUGUGAUGAAGGACUGUGGAUAUUAUAAUGUCCUCAUCAGAGAGGACUGUGUCUGUGUUGAAAGACUGAUCUAGGGUCAGGCUGGGUAGGUAGGGGCUGGUAGGUCGAUGAGGUGCUUACUACAUGGGCAUGACUGCAUAUACUUGAAUAGAAGGUGUUCUUCAGAGCCUGGGGUUGUCUCAGUAAUACUGACUAGAAGGUGUUCCUCAGAGCCUGGGGUUGUCUCAGUAAUACUGAAUAGAAGGUGUUCCUCAGAGCCUGGGGUUGUCUCAGUAAUACUGACUAGAAGGUGUUCCUCAGAACCUGGGGUUGUCUCAGUAAUACUGAAUAGUUCUUCAGAACCUGGGGUUGUCUCAGUAAUACUGAAUAGCUCUUCAGAGCCCGGCUGGUCUCAGUAAUUCUGAAUAGUUCUUCAGAGCCCGGGUGGUCUCAGUAAUACUCCGGGUUGUAGUGAAAGGCAGUUAGUGUUAUAACACGUGAUUAUAAAGCACUCUGAUUAAUCAGGACUUAAGGUUGACUCAUGUAGCUUUUUGAAUUGCUUAGUUUAUACCAUGUUGACUGUUGCAACUGUAGAGUUUUAUUUUUCAUAUGUUCGUUUCUUUAAUAAUAUUUUCAGUAGUGAACCCGAUACGUGUCUCUGGCCAGAGUGUAAAUUCCUAAAACGCUUGUUCCCUUGCACAGCCAAAAAAAGUGUUCCCAUAUCCCCUUUGCUUUAUGUGGAAGGCAACCUGUAAAACAGACUCCUAAACCUAGUAAUGAACAUUUUCCCCAAAUGUGUUGAACCUUCAGAUUUUCUACAUUUUCUAGUGUUUGACAAAGGUUUUUAUUAGUUAACCAUAAAUCACACUAAGGCUUCUUUAAAGCUUUUGUCAAAGUUGUACUUAUUUAUUUCACAUAAAACAAUAUUGUCAAAUAAAAGAGGCAAUCUAAAAGAUAUGAAACUGAACUUAGGGCUGAAUAGAACAGAAUGUUGUGUUGUUGUCUGGUUGGUCGGUCGGUAACCACGGAGCCACUUAUGACCUAAUGCACAAGAACUAUACUAUGGGAUCCUAUCAGACUGUCACUGUGUGGAUAAUUGGAGGCUCCAGGACACGGAGCAGAAGACUCUGUUUGAUUGGAGUUCAGAACAGGUGUGGCUGGCUGGGGAUUGGAUGGACGACCUGGUGACCUCAUCAGGUCAGGGAGUAGAGCCCCGGCCUGCCCCGCUGAUGAUUGGUUCAGUGCCUGCCAGCUGCACACUGCUCAGUAGCCCCGCCCCCUUUGGAACCCAUUGCCGCCUGCUGAUUGGAGAACAUCAGUGGGGAGGGGCGGGACAGGGGGCGGGGUCACAACGUUCUUUUGACUUUUUUUAUUGUAGUUAUUUUGUGGAUUGAUAGUCGGGAGGAAUCGUGUCCUUAGGUCGAAUACAAUGUGCCUUUGGUUAUUAAUGCCAUUCAUUUAGUAACCCAAGACCAGUAACAUAAUGACUUCAUUCCCCUACACCUCCCUACAGCACAUCUCCCCUGAACAUACAUCCAUUUCGCAGAUGUUUGAAAUGUUUACAGUCAUUUUCAUGGAUGUUUUCUUCAAGCCCAAAGACAGUCUUCCUGGCUUAACCUCUGAUGUGGUAGCGAGGAGAAAGCCAAGCGGCCGCACAAUGACAGGUAUUACAUGGGCUACAUCCACAAUGGCACCCUAUUCCCUAUAUAGUGCACUACUUUUGAUAGGGCUCUGGUCAAAAGUAGUGCACUAUAUAGGGAAUAGGGUGCCAUUUCGGGGAAACAGCCGUGCAGUUUCGAGACAGAGCGUCAGAUCUUUUGGGAUGACUAACUCUCACCUGGAAACACCCUUUGCCAACAGGGAACGCUUAGUAAGAAGCAAUCACCUUAUGCUCUGAAAGGGUUGAGGAACUGACAGCCUCUGUCUUGUCUUAACAUCAAAACAAUUCAAGGGGUUAUAGCUGUUAGCUUCAUUUUAUUACUCCCAGAGAGAAGGACAAAAAUACAUUUGAAUCUUUACCUCAGACUGUUGUGAUAGAUAUCUCUUCUUAUUGUGAUGUGAAUAACCCAGGGCAUUUGGUUACAUACCAAAGUGCAUUUCUUUCUACGUUUGUGGCUAUGAGGAAAUGAAGCCAGUGGAUUUUGACUCUUAUUUUUCUGAGUAAAAAAAUAAGGCACUCAAACCACUUUUGGUCAUUCAAGGGCCAUAUCUAUCUAUCUGUCUGGAGAAUGCUUGUCUUCAGCUGAGAAGGAAGUAGGGAGAUGGAGUACAGUGUUUAUUUUAUUACACCACUGUCUGAACGUCGUAGCACAACUCCAAACCUCUGUGUGCUCCACACGGUUGGAUGUAGCUUCUUUUCAGUGCAGUGUCAACUGUCCUAUCACAAUCUGCAGUCUAUAGUUGGUGUGUCAGUCAGCCCAAUGUGCUACUCCACGGUAAGGUAACAUAGCUGUGGCAGAAUCAAGCAUUUGACUAUAUUGUAAAUGUUUAGAAUUUAAAAAAAAUAAUUUUUAAAUACUUUUUUUUGCUACUUGUAAGAAUUUUAACUCUUGACUGUCUCGGGAGCUCUACUACACAACUUUUAGAAGACAGUCUCUAGAGUUCUACUACACAACUUUUAGAAGACAGUCUCUAGAGUUCUACUACACAACUUUUAGAAGACAGUCUCUAGAGUUCUACUACACAACUUUUAGAAGACAGUCUCUAGAGUUCUACUACACAACUUUUAGAAGACAGUCUCUAGAGUUCUACUACACAACUUUUAGAAGACAGUCUCUAGAGUUCUACUACACAACUUUUAGAAGACAGUCUCUAGAGUUCUACUACACAACUUUUAGAAGACUCUCGAGAGCUCUACUACACAACUUUUAGAAGACAGUCUCUAGUUCGACUACACAACUUUUAGAAGACAGUCUCUAGAGUUCUACUACACAACUUUUAGAAGACAGUCUCUAGUUCUACUACACAACUUUUAGAAGACUCUCUAGAGCUCUACUACACAACUUUUAGAAGACAGUCUCUAGUUCUACUACACAACUUUUAGAAGACAGUCUCUAGAGUUCUACUACACAACUUUUAGAAGACAGUCUCUAGUUCUACUACACAACUUUUAGAAGACAGUCUCUAGUUCUACUACACAACUUUUAGAAGACAGUCUCUAGAGUUCUACUACACAACUUUUAGAAGACAGUCUCUAGUUCUACUACACAACUUUUUAGAAGACAGUCUCUAGAGUUCUACUACACAACUUUUAGAAGACAGUCUCUAGUUCUACUACACAACUUUUAGAAGACUGUCUCUAGAGCUCUACUACACAACUUUUAGAAGACAGUCUCUAGUUCUACUACACAACUUUUAGAAGACAGUCUCUAGAGUUCGACUACACAACUUUUAGAAGACAGUCUCUAGAGUUCUACUACACAACUUUUAGAAGACUCUCGAGAGUUCUACUACACAACUUUUAGAAGACAGUCUCUAGAGUUCUACUACACAACUUUUAGAAGACUCUCGAGUUCUACUACACAACUUUCAGAAGACAGUCUCUAGAGUUCGACUACACAACUUUUAGAAGACAGUCUCUAGAGUUCUACUACACAACUUUCAGAAGAAGGAAGUAAGAAAACAGAAUCUUGAACCGUGCAACAACGUUGAUAGAUGUUAGUACUCUGUACCACAGCCACGUACGAUGUACAUAUGUAUAAUGUCUUUGUCUUUGGUGAAAUGCUGCUGGAAGCACUACAUGAAUGUUGUAGUGGGUUUUAAGCUUGGUCAGUUUUACUAUAGUGUAUGUAAUGUACAGCUAAUGGAAGGUCACACUUUUUUUUUUUUUUUUUUAGUGAUUAUUUGUUAAAUUUUAUUGUUGUGGCCGGGAAAAUGUUAUUAAAUAAAAUAAAAGUUUUAAUGUCCAUCUUUAUAAAUGAAUUGUUUACUGGUGGUUAUUUGUCACAGGAAGUGUCAUUCCAGGUUAAAGGUCGUCAGGGAAUGAGGUCCAAAGUACUUGAAUCGAUGUACGGUUUGCUUC
ensembl:lncRNA